CGACCCAGAAGACGGGUGAUUUCUGCAUUUCCAUCUGAGUUUGGAGUUGUUGCUACCUGUGUCUACCCAGCCAAGGACUUUAUGCCUCAGGCCUUCAUAUUCAGGACAUGUUUCUCAUGAAAAUUUUGGAAAUGUGAAAUUACAGAAAAGCCCAAAGGAAAACAAUGAAAAUCUCUUGCAACUACAGUACUUAGAAAAAUGCCUAUUAUCAUUUUGUUUUAUAUCCCUGCUGUCUUUAUAUGUACAACUUGCAUUUUGCAAGAGUUUAGAAAGUUGUAACCUUAUUUUUUAAAUCAGUGCAUAACUAAUAUUUUUUAUGCUAUUAAAAUAUUAUUUUAAGAUGUAAUAUCUAAUCACAUGUCUGCAUCAUAAUCUACUUAAUCUCCCCUUGUUCACAAUUAAGUAGUUUCCAAUUUUUCACUAUCAAAGUAAUGCUACAACAAGAAGGAUAUCCUGGUAUAUAAAUAAUUUUACACAACACAGUUAUUUCCUUGACAUAAAUACCUAGAAUAGAAUUAGUCAAACAUAAGAAAUUAAUAUUUAAUACCUCCGAUACAUCCUGCCAUGCUGCCCACAAAAAGACCAUACCAAGUUACACCACCACCGAAAAUGUGUUAAAGGAUCAGUUUGCUCAAAACUUAAAUAAAAUAGAGUAAGUUAUUUUAUAUCUACACAUUUAAUGAGUUGAAAUGUAUCCUCUGCAUUACUUUCACAUGUACUUCUGCCAAUUAAUAUAAAAUUCAUGUGUGCAAAAAUUAAAUAAUAGAGUAACACAUCAUUACAGAUUCCAAAAAAAGCAAAAAAUAUUUACUAAUUGCACAAUUACUAAUUGUAAGUCACUUUUUUGGACAUCUUCCUAAAUAGUAUGUCUUUUCUUUAUAAUAUAAUGUCUUUAUUAAGGGUACACUGAAUUUGACAGUUUGGCCUAAGUGUGACAAACAACUAAUUGAGACUAAAAUACUAUGAAGGCUCUCAAAAUGACAAAUGAUUUCCAUCUGUGUCUCCAUUGUUUCAAAUUUGAUUCAUAUAUUGCUUAUCAGUAACAUAAGUAAUUCUUAUUUUUUUCAUUUCUACUCACUUUUGUGAAAUGAAAAGGACAAAAUAUGAUGAAACAUUCAAAUAAUUUCAUAUACAUUACUAUGUUGAGAGAGAUAGAAGCACUGCUGAAACUGAAAUACAUAUUGGCAGACUAGCAGCACCAACCUACCACAUUUAAAAAUAUUAUUUUACCAUGUGAAUGUUCACAUUAAAUAUAAUAAAGAUAAUUUAGGAAUAUCAAUGUCAUGCCUAGUCAAGUAUAUGAAAGCCAUAUAAUCUCAUUGAUGCUUUAUUUCUCAUAUCUUUGAUUGCUAGCAAUGGUGAGCCCAUUUCCAUAAGUGUUUUGGCCACUGAGGUUCUUUGUGAAUUUUCAAUUCAUGUAUUUUGUCUGUAUUAUGUUGGAAUGUGCAUAAUUUGUUUAUUGAGUUAUAAAUGCUACUUACAUAUUCAGAAUAUAAAAACCAUUAUAGUUGAUGUGAAUAAAAAUACCUAGUUGGCUAAAUGUCUUUAGGUUUUAUGUUGUUUUUUUUAUAAUGGAUCUGCAGACAUUUUUAAUUUUCAUGUAUAUAUUCAAAUAUCUUGAUAUGAUUUGGCUCUGUGUCCCCGCCCAAAUCUCAUGUCAAAUUGUUAGACCUGGUGGAAAGUGAUUGGAUCAUGGGGAUGGUUUCUAAUGACUUAGCAUCAUCCCCUUAAUGCUGUCUCAUGAUAGAAUUCUCGCAAGAUCUGGUUGUUUAAAAGCGUGCGGCACCUCCCCUUCUCGCUCUCUUCAUCUUGCUCCAGUCAUGUAAGAUGCACCUGCUUCCUUUUUGCCUUCUGCCAUGAUUGUAAGUCUCCUGAGGCUUCCCCAGUCAUGCUUCUUGUACACCUCAUGGAACCGUGAGCCAAUUAAACCUCU
rnacentral:lncRNA from 10 species